CCUACGGGUGGCAGCAGUGAGGAAUAUUGGUCAAUGGACGAGAGUCUGAACCAGCCAAGUAGCGUGAAGGAUGACUGCCCUAUGGGUUGUAAACUUCUUUUAUAUGGGAAUAAAAUGUUCCACGUGUGGGAUGUUGUAUGUACCAUAUGAAUAAGGAUCGGCUAACGCCGUGCCAGCAGCCGCGGUAAUACGGAGGAUCCGAGCGUUAUCCGGAUUUAUUGGGUUUAAAGGGAGCGUAGGUGGAUUGUUAAGUCAGUUGUGAAAGUUUGCGGCUCAACCGUAAAAUUGCAGUUGAAACUGGCAGUCUUGAUUACAGUAGCGGUGGGCGGACUUCGUGGUGUAGCGGUGACAUGCUUAGAUAUCACGAAGAACUCCGAUUGCGAAGGCAGCUCACUGGACUGCACCUGACACUGAGGCUCGAACGUGUGGGUAUCAAACAGGCUUAGAUACCCUUGUAGUC
rnacentral:rRNA from 1 species